AUGCUCACUUCAGCAGCACAUAUACUAAAAUUGGAACGAUACAGAGAAGAUUAGCAUGGCCCCUGUGCAAGGAAUAAUAAUAAUAAUUGUACAUUAAAUAUAUAUUU
ensembl:snRNA U6 U6 spliceosomal RNA